CAAGGCUGGGGAUGAGUGUUUUAUAGUUACUGCCUGUGUUUAUGACGAGACACUGCAUCUGCUCGGCUCGAUCAAUGGAACUGACUUUGUAGAGAGCAAAUCCCUUAUUGUCAAAACGGAAUUUCUGCAAUACUUAAAAAACCAGGCUUCAUCAGAAGUCGUCAGAGGGCCAGACGUUAUUGACGAUCCACACAGUGAAAGAAAAGUGGUCAGGUCUCUUAUGUCACAUUUAGUGGGUAAAGAUGCACCCUGUUAAAGAAAUAACACAUAAACCAACACUGGAUAUGAUUAACACACUCAACCAACACUGGGUAUGAUUAACACACUCAACCAACACUGGAUAUGACUUACACACUCAACCAACACUGGAUAUGACUUACACACUCAACCAACACUGGAUAUGACUAACACACUCAACCAACACUGGAUAUGACUAACAUGCUCAAUCAACACUGGGUAUGAUUAACACCCUCAACCAACAUUGGAUAUGAUUAACACAUGCAACCAACACUGGGUAUGAUUAACACACUCAACCAACAUUAGAUAUGAUUAAAACACGCAACCAACACUGGAUAUGAUUAACACACUCAAUCAACACUGGAUAUGAUUAACACACUCAACCAACACCGGACAUGAUUAACACCCUCAAUCAACACUGGAUAUGAUUAACACACUCAACCAACACUGGAUAUGAUUAACACCCUCAACCAACACUGGAUAUGAUUAACACCCUCAAUCAACAAUGAAUAUGAUUAACACCCUCAACCAACACUGGGUAUGAUUAACACACUCAAUCAACAUUGGAUAUGAUUAACACAUGCAACUAACAUUGGGUAUGAUUAACAUACUCAACCAACAUUGGAUAUGAUUAACACACGCAACCAACACUGGAUAUGAUUAACACACUCAAUCAACACUGGAUAUGACUAAAACCCUCAACCAACACUGGAUAUGACUAACACUCUCAACCAACACUGGAUAUGAUUAACACACGCAACUAACAUUGGGUAUGAUUAACACACUCAAUCAACAUUGGAUAUGAUUAACACACGCAACUAACAUUGGGUAUGAUUAACAUACUCAACCAACAUUGGAUAUGAUUAACACACGCAACCAACACUGGGUAUGAUUAACACACUCAAUCAACACUGGAUAUGACUAACACUCUCAACCAACAGAAGAGAUUAUUAAAACACUCAAUGUUAUAGGGUCACACGUGGUGGUCAAUGUUACACGGUCACACAUUGUGGUCAAUGUUACACGGUCACACGUGGCGGUGAAUGUUACACGGUCACACGUUGUGGUCAGUGUUAUAAGGUCACACGUGGCGGUCAAUGUUACACGGUCAUAUGUGGUGGUCAAUGUUACACGGUCACACGUGGCGGUCAAUGUUACACGGUCACACGUGUUGAUCAAUGUUACACGGUCACAUGUUGUGGUCAGUGUUAUACGGUCACACGUGGCGGUCAAUGUUAUACGAUCAAACGUUUCGGUGGUUGGUGCUGUACAAUAAGAUGGUUGGUGUUGUACUAUUAGAUGUUUGGUGUUGUACUAUAAGAUGUUGGGUGUUGUAUUUUAAGAUGGUUGGUGUUGCACUAUAAGAUGUUUGGUGUUGUACUAUAAGAUGGUUGGUGUUGUACUAUAAGAUGUUUGGUGUUGUACUUUAAAAUGUUGGGUGCUGUACUAUAAGAUGUUUGAUGCUGUACUUUAAUACGUUGGGUGCUGUACUAUAAUAUGGUUGGUGAUGUACUAUAAGAUGUUGAGUGUUGUACUUUAAAAUGUUGAUACUGUACGAUGUUUGGUGUUGUACUAUAAGAUGUUGGGUGUUGUACUAUAAGAUGUUUGGUGUUGUACUGUAGGAUGUAGGAUGUUGUGCUAUAAGAUUUUGGUUGUUGUGCUAUAAGCUGUUGGUUGUUGUACUAUAAGAUGUUUGGUGUUGUACUAUAAGAUGGUUGGUGUUGUACUGUAGGAUGUUUGGUGUUGUGCUAUAAGAUGUUAGGUGUUGCGAUAUAAGUUGUUGGGCGUUGUACUUAAAAAUGUUGAUACUAUACUAUGUUUGGUGUUGUACUAUAAGAUGUUGGGUGUUGCACUAUAAGAUGGUUGGUGUUGCACUAUAAGAUGUUGGGUGUUGUACUGUAGGAUGUUGGGUGUUGUGCUAUAAGAUGUUGGGUGUUGUACUAUAAGAUAUUUGUUGAUGUGCUAUAAGAUAUUGGGUGUUGUACUAUAAGAUGUUGGUUGUUGUGCUAUAAGAUGUUGGUUGUGCUAUAAUAUGUUGGGUGUUGUACUAUAAGAUGGUCGGUGCUGUACUUUACGAUGUUUGGUGUUGUACUAUAAGAUGUUGGGUGUUGUAUUAUAAGAUGUUUGGUAAUUGUUACCUUCAAAUAUAUCUCAAUCUCAGUGAAGAGGGUAAUAUUUUAUAAAAUGAGAGUUGUAUUAAAAAUCCUUUGCUCUCACUUCAGUGUUAUGAUUUAUGGCGGUGUUGUCUUUUAUGCAUUUGCAUAAUUACUCCAAAUAAUCGUUUGUGUCGUUCCUGUGGCCGCCCUUGUACGUACGAUUUUAGCGUUGGAGAUGACAGAGUACGGACGUCGGUUUGUUCAAGGCGAUUAAAGCGUUGACAUAACAAUAUGUGUAGUGUUACUGUGUUGAUAAAAAUGUAAGGGCUGUCGAAGUCAAAUCUAACGAUGUUCCUACGACAACCGUAAGGAAGAAUUAUAGUCGCCAAAUAAACCCAUGACAUCGCAGAAACAGCUUGAACGAUGGUGGAACAUUCGAGGGAAGUUAUUGGGUUUAACUCAAAACAAUCGUAAAAUAUUAUAGGACAUUCCUAAGAUUUGGAGAACCUCAAUUGGCACUACAAUCAUACGAGGUUGAAUUUAGCUCUUCUGGUCAAAUGCCAGAAGAGUAAUUGCGAUGGCGCGUUUUCCGUCGACCGUUCGUCUUUAAGCACUUGGUUGAGAACUUGAUAAAGCCGAUACAUUAGUUUGAUAUCCAUGAGAGGUCGGUUUCUCUCGAAAAGCAGCCAGAUCCGCCUUUGUAUGACUGGAUAAUUUCACUUAGAAAGAAUGCAAAGGAAAUAUAGGGAGACAACUUUGUACAGACAGGUGUGCAUUAUUGUAGUGUUUGUCUCCCGUUGAAACAUGGUUUACUGAUUGUUAUGACAAAGUGCCAGUAGACCACAGGCCCGCAUGGGCCUUCUUUUUGUUUAAAUUGUUUGAAACUCUAAAAUAGUUCUAUCGCAAAACACACGAGUUUCAUUGAUACCCUUGUCUUUCCUAAGGAUGUCUCCAAUCUUUUGUCGUUGGCCUGGUGAACGACGUGUUCGACAGAUUGUUACGGAAUAUCGUUUAUUCGACCCAGGUGUCUGUCCGUACCGGAAAUUAUUACCACCCACAACAUUUUUCCACUUUGAGAUAUGGAAAUGUAUUGUAUGAUUAUUACAAGCAAAGUUAACUUAAAUCGCACAAAUACCUUUAGAAAUGAUUUUGUUAACAUUAUAUUUACAGGCGGUUAGAUUACUCGCUGACGGGGAGGAGUGUUUCAUUGUGACUGCAAAGAGCCCAAACGUUCUGAGCUCCGACAAGGGGAAAGCUUACUUCUGCGAGAAUUUCAAGUUUUGUCAGAAAGCAUUAUUUCGCCACAUUAGUAAUUUUUGGGUUUUGAAGUGUUUUAACGUAAGACAUUUAGUUCCGCUUUAGAGACUUAGAUGUAAUAUUCUGUUGAAGUUUCCAUCGUCUGAAUUAAAGUUCAGGUAUAUGUUUACAUUAAUUUUCACGCAUUGUUAGGAUUUUUUAUUAACAAAACGAUAUGAUGCAGGUUGAAGUUAUCAUUGGAUUUGGGCUGAAACAUUUAUCCAGUUUGAUUAUAUAUAAUUGUGUAUAACCACUUAAUGCAGUUUUACUGAGCGUUUUCAUUCGACGGCCGUCAAAACCCGGCCAUGUGUUCCUUAUAUUGGUCGAACUCUAAAUACUGAAGGUGAUUCAUUUCUGAAACAUCGUGACUUUGUAACUUUGAAGUGGGGUGAUCAAAUGUGAAUAUCUGACAUCCAGAUUGCUAUGUCACAAAACUGUAUCAAAUUGACCCUAUAAAUGUAUCACUACAUUUUUUAAAUUCUACUGAAGCUAUAUAUGACUAGUUAUUAUUGGUUUAACAUCACAUACUUAAGAAACUGACUGUUUGUUUCAAAGAAAGACAAAGAAAAAACACACCUCCACCUAUAUUAUGCACAUAUACGGUUAAUGACCAUUUAUGAAUACGGUCCCAGAUUAAUAGGCCUACUAAAAAGAGUUUGUUUCCGACGCCUCUGUACAGUCCUUGUUGUAUUUUGGUCAAACUAAUCUUAGGAUCAGUGCUAAAAUAAAGGGUAGAUUUAGACAUUUGAAAUGAACAAUUAGUUAUAUUUAGGCCUCAUUAGAAUCGCCGCUGGUUCUCUGAUUGUAUCUAGCGUUUACACAUUCGGAACUCCUCGGCCAUUUUCUAUCGAAAGAUGUAGAUCGUUAAUUUUGAGUUAUAUUAUUAAUUAAAUGUAGCGUUUUAGCAUGUAUUUCUGAGUUUUAUUUGAUUGCCAGUUAAGUGUAGUAUUGCAAACAUUAUUAAGAUUCCCUAGAGUUCAGUCAUUAAUUUUUACAGCUAAAUUGAAAUUACUACGCGAUCUUUUUGCUGCGUUGUAAAUGUGUACAUAUUUCGGCCAUUGUAAACCGUUCAUAUACAUCCGAGGUUGUUUUUGAUAGAAAAUGGCCUAGGAGUUCCCAUUGGCAUUUACACUAUUGAAAAGGAGUUUUAGGAGUCCCUUUGUGUGAAAUGUCUUCAUUGGCCAUAACUCAAUAUGAAAAAAGUAAAACGACAUUUUUGCAUAUGCCGGUAUAUUCUGAAUUAUGAAAUAUGUAUUGACAGUUAUAUGUUUUGUUAACAGAUAAAACCAACCUUAAUGCCAGUACAGUCGGAAAAAACACGUAGAAAUGAGCAGACCUAACGUCUCGUUUGCUCAACAUUCCAAACCAACUGACGGAAACAGAUCAAAUCAAUCCGUAGUACCAGUGAAAGUUAAAAAGGUUUCGGAUAAUGUGAAAGUAAACACUAAAAGGACCAAUAUAGAAGACGAACUUAAGGAAUCGCCUUCGCUCCUUCUUGGAAAAGCUGUACCACCCGAGGGGACUCGAAGAAAGGCAAAUGUCGAUAAGCCUGUCAUACCGGUAACCCCCGCCUCUAAUGAUAAAGAUAAUGACAGUUGGUCUAAUUCAGAUGACGAGUUUCAAGAAGAGGCGGAAAAUGAGUUACCCGACAUGAGUGCCUUUAUCUCCGAUAAAACUAGAUCAAGACGCCACGCGGUCAGUAAAGUCACUGUCAAAUUGCGGGUCAGCUUCACAAAAGAUAAGGGAAGCGUGUCAAGAGCCAGCCAUAAAGAAACACAAGGAAGAAAGUGGUGUACGGUCAUAUGUAAGCGCCGGAGAAAAUGAGAGGGCGACAAACUCAAGUGUUAUUGCAGGGACAUCUGAUGAGUGUAAACAGGGAGCUAAUUCAAACUCCGUAGAAAUCCAAUCAUUUACAUGCAUUGUGAAAGGUUGUUUGGGAGAAUUUAUCGUCCGAUGGCCGUUAUUGAAACAUUAUCAAAGUCAUACCGAGACGAAACUAGUCACAUGCAGAGAGUGCGAUGAACAAUUUAAUAGCAGCACCACCGCAAUCAAGCAUUGUAGAACAGCCCACCCUUACAUUGAGAAACUGCAACCGCAAUAUCCGAGCCGACAACGGCUUGAAGAUCUCGAAAGGGAGUUAAAUGCGGAUAACACUGAUGACCGAGUCUAGUGAUAUACUAAACCUAGAAACUGUAAGAGUGCGUGCUCAGUUAAAACCAAAGAACCGCACAGAAUUAUAUAGAACUUAGAAACUGUAAAACAGUGAGCGCUCUGUUAAAAAAACAUAUCCAAAAAUAUAUGUAUACUGCACAAAUUAGCCACUGUAAAACUAUAUGUGUUUAGUUAAAGCCAAAACACGACGUCUAUAUGUGUAUUGAACUGAGGACCUGUAAAACUAUAUACGUUCAGUGAAAGCAAACGAACCACGUCUAUACGUGAAUUGAACUAAGAAACUGUAAACUAUAUAUGUUCAGUUUAAGCACAAGAACCACGUCUAUACGUGUAUUGAACUGAGAAACUGUUAAACCAUAUAUGUGUUCAGUUAAAGCAACAUAAUCACGUCUAUACGUGUAUUGAACUGAAAAACAGUAAGCUAUGUAUGUUCAGUUAAAGCAAAAGAACCACGUAUAUACGUGUAUUGAACUGAGAAACUAAAACCUAUAUGUUCAGUUAAAGCACAAAACCACGUAUAUACGUGUCUUGAAAUGAGAAACUGUAAAACUAUAUCAUAUUAUGUGUUCAGUUAAUAACCACGUCUAUACGUGAAUUGAACUAGGAUAUUGUAAACUAUAUAUGUUCAGUUAAAGACAAAAUAACCACGUCUAUACGUGUAUUAAACUGAGAAACUAGAAACUAUAUAUGUUCAGUUAUAGCAAAAAAACCACGUCUAUACGUGUAUUUAACUGUAAAACUAUAUAUGUGUUUAGUUAAAGCAAAAGAACCACGUCUAUAAGUGAAUUGAACUGAGAAAGUAGAAACUAUAUAUUUUCAGUUAAAGCCACAAAAUAACGUCCAUAAAUGUACUAAAGAUAGAAAACUGUGUGUGUUCAUUUUAAGCCACAGCGAAAUGUUUAGAAACAUACUGAACUUAGAAACUGUAAAACUAAAUUUGUUCAGUUAAAGCUACAAAACCACGUCUUAAACUGUACUGAACUUAAAAACUGUUAAACUUUAGUCCUGUUUUUUAAGCCACAGAGCCAGGUCUAGAAAUAUACUUAACUUUUAAACUGUUCUUCUAUUUGUGUUUAAUUAAAGCCGUGAAACAAGACAGUCAACAUACUUGUAUUUGUAAACGAUACUUAAACGAAUCAGCAUAUAGCGCAAUUUUAGAACUUAAGACUGGCUUAAAUAUUCGAGUUUAGAACUAGACUGGCUAAAUUAUGCGAGUUUAGAAUUAGUCUCUCAACUCGAAUGUCUAAAUUAUGUGAGUUUAUAAUUACACUGGCUAAAAUAUGCAAGUUUUUUUAAAAGGCGUGUUUAUUUUUUAUAUGUCUAUAUUUCCUUUUUUAUUAUCUCUAAUUCAAAAUUUCAAACUAGGAAUGCCUCGACAGGGCUCAGUCCAGCAGACGACGUCACAUAUGUAGACUUAUAUAUCAACCACCCACCACUUAGAUUUAUUCAGUAUUUGUGGUUUUUACUAGCUUGAAAAUAUCAAUCCUCUUGUACGUCAACAUUAUCUAUACUUGGCUAAUAUUGUUUACAUGUAUGUAUAUAUACAUUUUGCUCUCAUUUUUAUACUCUCAUUCAAUGCUCAAACGAAAAUAGUCUACAUUUUAAACAAACCGCUUUUAUAUAGAUAUCCUACUGGAUUAGGCAUGAAAAUGCUGCUCUAAAAUGUAGUCAUUGGCGCCGCACUGAAGUGUGCGCCAAUAUUUGGAUGGGAAUACUUUUUAGUUAGCGGUAGGAGCGGUUUUUAAUUUUGAUUGACAGUUGGGUUUUAUUGUUUAUUGUUUUAAAAAAGAUGCAAAUGGAUGGGCAUUGCAUGUGGGUUAAUUAUGCUAUUUAUGGUUUAAAAUAUUGUUUUCAAUUUAUCUUCAAAACAUUUUUUUCAAAAAAUAACGACAAAUAAGUUUAAUAACUCUUCGCGAUUCGUUUCCGUUUUUGGAUUGGUUACCUGUAAUCAUGUGCCGGAAAUGUAAAAUGGGUGGACUGGUAAUUAUACGAAUGCGAAUAAUUAUGUUUUAUUUCGUUUUGUUAUGUUUACUACAUUGCUGAAUAAUGAACUAAGCUGUUUUCUUUAAUUCUAUCGAUAUCGGAAUUAAAUGUUCACCUUACUUUAUUUGUUAAUGUGUUAAAGAUGACAUAAGUAAAAUUUCAUAACGAUU